GGCUGGCAGGAGACCGAGCACGAAAGGCGGAAGGCGGGGGCGCAGUUUCUGGGCCGUGCGCCGUGGCCGGAGCUGCUUGCGGAACUAUCUAUGUCUGUCGGCAGGAGGGAAGUGUUCAUAGGGAAAGUACUGAAGAAGCUCUUUGCUGCUACUCCCUCCACUUCUCAUGUGCCUGUUCCAAGUGGAGAAGAAAUGGUACUAAAAACUCCUGCCUCAAAACCACAGCAGAAGGAUUCUGAGAGUGCUCAGACUUCAUCAGAAUGUGCCAGUUCCCCAGGUAGAGAAAAUGAAAUCCUGCUUCCAAGGUUAUACACAGUAAGUCUCCCUCCUGAAGGCUACGUCCCCAGUAAUCCAAGAACAGAUAGUCCCACAAAUGCUGAAAACUCAGAGAGUAGUGAUGAUGCAGCAGAGGAGGAUUCUCAUGGACAACCCAAAAAAAAGCGCAUUCGAAGGAAGAAACGAAAGAACACUGUUGGAAAUCCUGAUAAUUUACAUAGAGAACAAACAGAAUCUGAGAAGCAUGACACUCUGUUUCAAGAUAAUGUACAGCUGCAGCAGACAGACAGCACAAAAGUAAGCAAAAACAAAAAGAGGAAAAUGAAAAAGAAACGGCAAAAAGAAAAGAUGAGAGCAGCUGGCAUGCUAACAAAAACCACUGGUGUGGAUUUUACAUACCAGCCUGAGAAAGACAACAGUGAAGGAGCAUACUUUAAAGACAUAUAUGAAAAAGCAGAUGGCAUUCUGGACUUCUUGAAGGCAACGCAAGAAAUCUAUUUUGCUGACAAUAAAUCAAAAUGCACAGAUUCACCUACGAGUUCAGCAACCGUCCAAGAGAUUUUACAACAUCUUGAAUCUCACAGCAUGGCUUCCUCAGAUGUGAGACUUCUUCAGCAGAUGAAAUCCCUUGUACUUUUGCAGGAUACUGAGAGAUUGAAGGGCAUUUUGGAACAAUUCCAGGAACAUUCCAUGAUGCUGCCUGAUCAUGCCAAGAUAAUCUCUUCUCUGUUCCACUACUGGAUUACAGAUAUCCUUCCUGUGAAGAACAGGAAAUAAAGCAUGUGUGUGCGUCCAUCUGUGCAGAGUUAAAAUUUAAUAUACAAACUGAUCCCACCUCAUUCAGUUUAUAGGAUGGACCCCUCUGGGGAUCAGUUAAGGCGGUUUUGCAGAAGUGGGGAGAUGUGCAGUGAAGGAAGCAGGGUAUUGUUGGAAGAGAAAGGAUUGCCUCCUGGGUAAGGCAGCUGAAUGCUGCCCUGAAGAACUGGAUUUUAUUACUGCCUCUGCCACAGAGCAUCUCUUAUGCUAGGCAAGUCACUUAAAUUAAACAUUUCACAGGUGGUCACUAAUUUCGUUCUUCAUUUUCUGUUUACCUGACUUGAGUGGCUGGGGUCUGUUUUGCAGAAAUGUUGAGCACUCACAGCUGCAAACAUCUGCAAAGCUACUUCAUUGCCCUCCUUCAAAUCCCUCCAUAGAACUCUUCUUUCCUGUGAGACCUACACACUUGACAGUUUAAUUAUGCAGACCAAAAUGAUCUCAUUGUUUCCUUGUACUCCCCUUUCGGUCUGUCUGCUCCAUUGAUUGACUCUUGUCAUAUACUUACAUUGUAAGCUCUUUUGGGCAGGGACUUUCUUUUCUGUGUUUGCACAGUGCCCAGCACAAUGGAGUUCUAGUCCAUGAUGAGCUCCUAAGCGCUACUGUAAUACAUAUAAUGAUGUUGAUAAGUGAAUGUAUAAAGUGCUAUACAAUGCUAAGCACCUGGAAAAGUCAGGCACUGAGUAUCUCAGAUUGGGCACCCAAAGUCAGUAAACAGUUCUGACCAUGAUCUCCUGUGCCUCAGUUCCCCACACCUUCACAUCACAGGGGUGUUGUGAACAUUCAUGAAUGUUUGUGAAGUAGUUGGAUGCUAUAGUGAGGACCACUAUAGAAAAGGAAAUUAAUAAUUAUUUUUUCAGAGCAGGGUUUGAAUAGUGCGCAGCAAAUAAGGCAUUGCACCGCACAUUGAAAAACAAGGAGAAAACAAAAUAUUGAAUAGCUGCUCAUUAAGUGAGCACUGUCCAUCCUGUGCACUGAAUGAGGCAGAGGUGCUAAGCACAACAUACUUUGUGUUCAUGUCAUUAAAAACUAUAUAAUAAAGAACAUGCACAAAGUGGCCAAAUUAAUGUUGCAUAAGCAAGCAGCUUUAAUUUGGCUGCUUGCACUUUGGCAGCACAAAGGAAAGGCGAAUUAGUGCUGCUGGCAGCGCACCCCAGGCAUGCUGGGAGUGGAUGGGGUGUGGUCCAUGGUUCCUAUCCAUUUACUAACAUUCUGUUGCUGGCAAGACAGGCCCGUUACAGUGUAAGAGGAUGGAGAGCACUGAGUAAUUGGAAGGGGUUGAGAUGUAUAAUAGAAAUAGUUUCAUAUCCAUUCCUCCCAGUGCUGUUAAUUAUUUUAUUGUAUUGUUCCAGAUGGAAGAACCUAUUAAUAAUGGUAGAACAUUGAUUAAUGUAUUUGAUCUUCCACAAACAUCUUCUCUGUACUGUAAUAUUAGUUCAUUUUUAAUUACCAUAUAUACUCAUUCAUAAGCCGAAUUUUUUUAGUAAAAAAGGGAAGCACCAGA